UACGUAGGGGGCUAGCGUUGUCCGGAAUCAUUGGGCGUAAAGCGCGUGUAGGCGGUUCGGUAAGUCCGCUGUGAAAGUCGGGGGCUCAACCCUCGGAUGCCGGUGGAUACUGUCGGGCUUGAGUACGGAAGAGGCGAGUGGAAUUCCUGGUGUAGCGGUGGAAUGCGCAGAUAUCAGGAGGAACACCAAUAGCGAAGGCAGCUCGCUGGGACGUUACUGACACUGAGGCGCGAAAGCGUGGGGAGCGAACAGG
rnacentral:rRNA from 1 species